GAGUGAGAGAAGGAGUGGAAGAGACAGGGAGGAGAGAGAAAGAAGAAAAGGACACAUGUAGACAGGCCCAUGAGCUUUGAGUCUCUGUGGUGUACGAUUGGGAGGAGAACCACACUCCAGUGCCUUUCUUAACCUUCACAGCAAGUGCAUCAUUUUUAUUCCAUUGAUUACAUGAUUACCCUCUGACUGACAUGCAUGAAGCCUCUAAUGAAUAGAAAAUAAAUCCACCAGAGGGAAAGGAAGCAGUGUCGCCAUUCUCUCAUUCUAUCCAUUUAUUUUACAGAUAGUUUAUGUUAGAAUUAUUAGUGGUAGCCUAAUGUUUAUCCAUCACUGUGAUACAUAUUUUAAUUUCAAUCAUUGCAAGGACAUACGAUCGGCUUCACAGAAAGACUAAGUUUGUUGCUACAUUAUCCCAGCGGUUGACUCAACAACAGAUGUUCUACCCAGCCUAUGCAUUCGAUCAAGCCUGCUGGUCCGGCAACAUUUGUCACACCCUGAUCUGUUUCACCUGUCUUUGUGAUGGUCUUCACUCCUCUCCAGGCCCACCCCAUCUCCCUGUGUCAUCGAUGGCCUACACAGUGAGACGCCUCCUAAGUGUUCGACCACAGGGCAGGGGUUUCCAGUACCUGGUUGACUAGGAGGGUUAUGGCCCGGACGGGAAGUGCUGGGUAUACACUGGAAACAUCCUGGACCCAGCCCUCAUCGCCCACUUCCACCGCCAGCACCGUCGAACAGCUCCUGCUUUUCCCAGCCUCUCUUUUUUUCUACCCCUCCUGGUUCUGGGCGCUCCUGCCUGAUCACUCUACCUGUCCCUGACCCUGCCUGCCGUCCUGUACCUUUGCCCAACCUCUGGAUUAUUGACCUCUGCCUGCCCUGAGCCUACCUGCCGUCCGGUAUGGUUGGCCCACCUCUGGUUUACUGACCCCUGCCUGCCUUGACCUGUCUAUUGCCUGCCCCUGUUGGAU